rnacentral:tRNA from 1 species
GGAGGCUUCCGGAGCGAAACUCAAAAUGCGGGAUAAGCAUGUAGAAGCCUAGGCGGAAUGCUUUCGGACGCGGGUUCAACUCCCGCCGCCUCCACCA